UUCGAACAGAGUCGCCACCGAACUUUAUUUAUCCCAAUGAAGGAAUAGAAAAAUAUCGAUAAAACCUUUAGGAAAUGGAAUAAUGGUCAUCGCAACCAUAUUCGGGUUCGGGAGUGGAUUACGUAAGGGGAAGGUAUUAGCACCCCUUACGUCCGUUGUACUCAACGGGAACCUUUUAGUUCUAACGUGCGUUUCGUGUGUUAAUUUAUAUCUGUUUGUUAUCUUUGGGUUAUAAAAUU
rnacentral:lncRNA from 1 species